rnacentral:rRNA from 1 species
CAGGGUACUCGAGUGGCGAACGGGUGAGUAACACGUGGGUGAUCUGCCCUGCACUUCGGGAUAAGCUUGGGAAACUGGGUCUAAUACCGGAUAGGAACCAUCUUUAGUGUGGUGGUUGGAAAGUUUUUUCGGUGUAGGAUGAGCUCGCGGCCUAUCAGCUUGUUGGUGGGGUAAUGGCCUACCAAGGCGGCGACGGGUAGCCGGCCUGAGAGGGUGUACGGCCACAUUGGGACUGAGAUACGACCCAG